rnacentral:ncRNA from 1 species
UACAAUUAUUGUGAGUUUUAUUCUUGCUAAAUGAUCUUUUUUAUUUUUAUUUUAUAUACUAUUUCUGUUGCCUAAAAGGUUAAUAUUGUAGUAUUAAAUAUUGUUUUUCAAGUUACCUUGGAUACAGUUAAUUAUAAAGUUUUGGUUAAAUUCGUGCCAGCAUCCGCGGUUAUACGAUUGAGGCAAAAGAUUAUUAUUAGUCGGUAGUAAUUAUUUUAAUUUUUAUUAUUUUUGAAAAUUUUAGGUUAAAUUUAUAUUUUUUUAUAAUAUAUUUGGUCAAUUCUAUGAAAUUUAGAUUAUAAACAAGGAUUAGAUACCCUUUUAUACUAAAUGUUAAAUUUUCACUUGGGUAGUAGUAGUUAAGUUCUUGAAACCCAAAGAAUUUGGCGGUAUUUUAUUCUAUUCAGAGGAACCUGUUGUUUAAUCGAUAGUCCACGAUUUUAUUCACUUAUGCUUGUUUUCAGUUUUUAUACCUCCGUCAUAAGAAUGUUUUUUCAGAAUAAAUUUUCUUAAUUGUUAAAUACAAUUAUGUCAGGUCAAGGUGAAGCUAAUGCUUAAGUAUUAAUGGGUUACAAUAAUAAUAUUUAUAUGGAUUUUUAAAUUUAAAUUUAAAUUGAAGGUGGAUUUGUAAGUAAAGUUAAUUAAUUAAUUUUCUUGAUUUUAGCUCUAAAAUAUGUACACAUCGCCCGUCGCUCUCAUAAUAAAGUGAGAUAAGUCGUAACAUAGUAGAUGUAUCGGAAGAUGUAUCUAGAAAGUUAAA